rnacentral:rRNA from 1 species
GAUGAACGCUAGCGGCAGGCCUAAUACAUGCAAGUCGAGGGGCAGCACAGGUAGCAAUACUGGGUGGCGACCGGCAAACGGGUGCGGAACACGUACGCAACCUUCCUUUGAGGCGGGGGAAUAGCCCAUAGAAAUGUGGAUUAAUACCCCGUAAUAUCGUUGUCAGGCAUCUGAUGGCGAUUAAAGCUCCGGCACUCGAA